rnacentral:lncRNA from 1 species
CGUGUGUGUGUGUGCGCGUGUGAUGGAUGAUUCAAAAACCUAUGGCCUCUGAUAUGCUUUGCUAGAAAAUGAAUCCCACGCUUAAGAAUUUCUAAUCUAUGAGAAUAAAACCUGAGAGAGGGGCACAUUGAAUUGGGAGUGCGUGAGGAAAGAAGGAAAGGGUUUAAAGAUGGAUGGAAUGUCGCUAAGAGACAGGACAGCAACACAAGGUGACUCCAUGGACACUGGAACCUGGGACAGGAGGCAGUUAGAGAGGGGGUGCAUGCAGGAGAGGUUCCCCAAGCAAACUUAGCCCACUUCCCACAUCCAACCAGAGCCAGUGAGAGCCUCUCUCAGGAUUCUCAGCCUGAGGAAAGCAGUUCUGUGUACUUAGAUGGAAGAGAAAGCUGUAUCGGACCAGUGGCUCAAAAAAUAGUUUUAAGAACCCGAGUCUUAGCCAUUUUCUCAUUACUGUGUUCUUCCAAUGCCAUUUAAAAAAAAAUUUCAACCUCCUGUCUAAAAACUUUUCCAAUUUACUCUUUUGAGAAAACUUUAUAUCCUGUGGAUCUCUGAUGCUGUCCUCAGAUGCGCUUCUCAGAAAAUCUGUCCUGGUUUGCGAGGACUUUGGAACAACGAGAAACAAUGAACUACCUGGAGAAAAAUACCCACAGGCUCAGCACACCUACCAGCUUUUUGCUCAGAUGCCAAAGAAGAAAGGGAAAGAACAGACGAGGCACGAUAAACAUGAUGGCGUGUGGUCCUGCUGCGUUUGUCUGAGGCCGCUCAACACUGAAAGUCAGUUCAUCUCCUCCCAGGAAGGAGUGUUUGUAAAUUGUAUCAAAAUGAUUCUGGACUCUCAGGCAGGCUGGUUGGCCUGGACUCCUGGAAGCAGUUAGAGAAGCACUCAUUUGUAAUGUCAUGUUGGUUUCUUAUUAUUUAAUAUGUCAGCCAAGGGAGAAAAUGCCCAGAUAUUUGUGCUCACAGCAGUGCAUGAUCUCUUCUUGUGUGAAGGAUUGUAAGAGGGAGAUGAUUACCUUGAAGUGCUUGAUUAGAAGAAAGAGUGUAUAUUUGUUAUCUGUGGCUCAUAACUAUGUUUUUGGUUAACUUUCUGCUGCUGUUUUUAAGCAUUCUACUCCACAUUAUUCCAGCUGUGUAGCUUCAGAUUUUAAUGGAAGCAGCACAGUUCAAAACACAUUUGAAAUGUAUUAGUGAUUAGAGAGCAACUUUAAAUUCUGUUUACCUAUGCAUUUUGGAAAUGUCUGAAAAAAAUAUCAUUUAUUCUCUGCAAUACUGUUUCACACUCUGUCAAGAAUGUGCAAAAGGAAAGAGUAUCGUAUAGUUUCUUUCCAUUUGUUUCUAAAUGAUCAAAUAAUGACCAUUUAUUUUUUGUUGUUUAAUAUAUAUGUAUACUAAGAUAAAAAAUGUCAACACUUUUAGGUCUACCUACCAUUUUUCACAUUUCCGUAAAAGUUGUCAUAUUUGGUUAACAAUAAGGUAUAAAUCUCACUUGAGACUAGAACAAAUUUCCAUUAUUCAAGUUCUUUAGUUUGCUGCUAUCCUCGUUUUAGUGAUUGGCAGGUUACUAAAUUUUGAAGAAUGUUUGAGAAUUUAAGACACCUAUAGAUGAGAGGCAAUUCAAUGUCUCCUCUGUAGUAUUAUAUUAACUCUUUCAGACUAAGAGAAUCCUAUUUUCUAGAUUAUUUUUUCUAAUAGACUUCCCAGCACCCCAGGACCAAGGUUAGUGACAUUUCAGGGAGUGAAUGGAAACCAUGAAGAGCAUUGUUAAAAGUCUAAAAAUCAAUCAAGAAAUCACUUAUGAGGUGUCAGGUUCAAAAGACAUUUGAGUUCAGCCCAAGUUUGCUGGUAAGAAGCCAAUAGAUAGCUCUCUUUUGAAAA